UCUAGCGGCGGACGGGUGAGUAACACGUGGGCAACCUGCCCUACAGUUUGGGAUAACUCCGGGAAACCGGGGCUAAUACCGAAUAAUCCUUCGAAUCACAUGGUUCGAAGUUGAAAGGCGCUUCGGCGUCGCUGUAGGAUGGGCCCGCGGUGCAUUAGCUAGUUGGUGGGGUAACGGCCUACCAAGGCAACGAUGCAUAGCCGACCUGAGAGGGUGAUCGGCCACAUUGGGACUGAGACACGGCCCAAACUCCUACGGGAGGCAGCAGUAGGGAAUCUUCCACAAUGGACGAAAGUCUGAUGGAGCAACGCCGCGUGAGUGAUGAAGGUUUUCGGAUCGUAAAACUCUGUUGUAAGGGAAGAACAAGUGCGUUAGGUAAUGAACGCACCUUGACGGUACCUUAUUAGAAAGCCACGGCUAACUACGUGCCAGCAGCCGCGGUAAUACGUAGGUGGCAAGCGUUGUCCGGAUUUAUUGGGCGUAAAGCGCGCGCAGGUGGUUUCUUAAGUCUGAUGUGAAAGCCCACGGCUCAACCGUGGAGGGUCAUUGGAAACUGGGAAACUUGAGUGCAGAAGAGGAUAGUGGAAUUCCAAGUGUAGCGGUGAAAUGCGUAGAGAUUUGGAGGAACACCAGUGGCGAAGGCGACUGUCUGGUCUGUAACUGACACUGAGGCGCGAAAGCGUGGGGAGCAAACAGGAUUAGAUACCCUGGUAGUCCACGCCGUAAACGAUGAGUGCUAAGUGUUAGGGGGUUUCCGCCCCUUAGUGCUGCAGCUAACGCAUUAAGCACUCCGCCUGGGGAGUACGACCGCAAGGUUGAAACUCAAAGGAAUUGACGGGGGCCCGCACAAGCGGUGGAGCAUGUGGUUUAAUUCGAAGCAACGCGAAGAACCUUACCAGGUCUUGACAUCCCAAUGACCGCUCUAGAGAUAGAGUUUUCCCUUCGGGGACAUUGGUGACAGGUGGUGCAUGGUUGUCGUCAGCUCGUGUCGUGAGAUGUUGGGUUAAGUCCCGCAACGAGCGCAACCCUUAUUCUUAGUUGCCAUCAUUUAGUUGGGCACUCUAAGGAGACUGCCGGUGACAAACCGGAGGAAGGUGGGGAUGACGUCAAAUCAUCAUGCCCCUUAUGACCUGGGCUACACACGUGCUACAAUGGACGAUACAAAGAGUCGCAAACUCGCGAGGGCAAGCUAAUCUCAUAAAAUCGUUCUCAGUUCGGAUUGUAGGCUGCAACUCGCCUGCAUGAAGCCGGAAUCGCUAGUAAUCGUAGAUCAGCAUGCUACGGU
rnacentral:rRNA from 1 species